AUGAAGUGGCAUCUUGUAUAUUUCGUCCCAUGCUUCAUGCAUUCAUUAUGGUGGCUUCAGAGUCCUGGAAUCAUCACUUGUAACUCCGUUCUUAUUCCCCUUGCGCAUGCCAUCAUCUCCAUGCUUGAACUUGCUCCAAGGUUCAUCUUUCUUGUCCAAGCUAGGCCCUUCAUUUGUAAACAAAACAAAUGUAUCCAAUUUAGGCAGCAUCAUAUUCUCAUGAACAUUAGAAUUGUUACCAAGAAACGAAAGUAUCUGAUAAUUCAAUUGGCGUGCGCGAGCUCUAGUAAUCGGUCCAGUGUGUAUAGCAGCAGGGGCUGUGGGUGUAACAAUGGUAUUGAUGUCCUCAUCAGCAUGGUGAUCCUCUCCUCCCCUACAUGA
rnacentral:rRNA from 1 species